rnacentral:rRNA from 1 species
GACGAACGCUGGCGGCGUGCUUAACACAUGCAAGUCGAACGGAAGGGCUCAAGCUUGUUGGCUACCUGGAUUGCGGAAGGGGGGGGAAAAACGUGGGUAUCCGCCCCGUACCCUUGGGAUAACCCUGGGAAACUGGGUCUAUAAUUGGUUAUAACCUUUUUCCUAAUGGGGUUGGGGGGAAAGUUUUUCGGUGUGGGAUGAGCCCGCGGCCUAUCGGCUUGUUGUUGGGGUGUGGCCCGACGAAGGCGACGACGGGUAGCCGGCCUGAGAGGGUGAUCGGCCACAUUGGGACUGAGAUACGGCCCAGACUCCUACGGGAGGCAGCAGUGGGGAAUAUUGCACAAUGGGCGGAAGCCUGAUGCAGCGACGCCGCGUGAGGGAUGACGGCCUUCGGGUUGUAAACCUCUUUCAGCAGGGACGAAGCGUAAGUGACGGUACCUGCAGAAGAAGCACCGGCUAACUAUGUG